UACGUAGGGGGCAAGCGUUGCUCGGAAUCACUGGGCGUAAAGGGCGCGUAGGCGGGGAGGUAAGUCGGGUGUGAAAUCCCUCGGCCCAACUGAGGAACUGCGCCCGAGACUGCUUCUCUUGAGUCCCGGAGAGGAAGAUGGAAUUCCCGGUGUAGCGGUGAAAUGUGUAGAGAUCGGGAGGAACACCGGUGGCGAAGGCGGUCUUCUGGACGGUGACUGACGCUGAGGCGCGAAAGCGUGGGGAGCAAACGGG
rnacentral:rRNA from 1 species